rnacentral:rRNA from 1 species
ACUCAAAUGAAUUGACGGGGGCCCGCACAAGCAGCGGAGCGUGUGGUUUAAUUCGAUGCAACGCGCAGAACCUUACCGGGGUUUGACAUGCUGGUGACUGCUCCAGAGAUGGGGCUUCCCUUCGGGGCACCAGCACAGGUGCUGCAUGGCUGUCGUCAGCUCGUGCCGUGAGGUGUUGGGUUAAGUCCCGCAACGAGCGCAACCCUCGUCGCUAGUUGCAUCUUUCUAGCGAGACCGCUGCGCAAAACGCAGAGGAAGGUGGGGAUGACGUCAAGUCAUCAUGGCCUUUAUGCCCCGGGCUACACACACGCUACAAUGGACGGUACAGACGGUUGCCAAGCCGCGAGGUGGAGCUAAUCCGAGAAAGCCGUCCUCAGUUCAGAUUGCAGGCUGCAACUCGCCUGCAUGAAGACGGAGUUGCUAGUAACCGCAGGUCAGCACACUGCGGUGAAUACGUUCCCGGGCCUUGCACACACCGCCCGU